CGGGUGAGUAACGCGUGGAUAACCUGCCUCACACAGGGGAGUAACAGUUAGAAAUGACUGCUAAUACCGCAUAAGCGCACAGUACCGCAUGGUACAGUGUGAAAAACUCCGGUGGUGUGAGAUGGAUCCGCGUCUGAUUAGGUAGUUGGUGGGGUAACGGCCCACCAAGCCGACGAUCAGUAGCCGACCUGAGAGGGUGACCGGCCACAUUGGGACUGAGACACGGCCCAA
rnacentral:rRNA from 1 species